GACGAACGCUGGCGGCGUGCUUAACACAUGCAAGUCGAACGGAAAGGCCCUGCUUUUGUGGGGUGCUCGAGUGGCGAACGGGUGAGUAACACGUGAGUAACCUGCCCUUGACUUUGGGAUAACUUCAGGAAACUGGGGCUAAUACCGGAUAGGAGCUCCUGAUGCAUGGGGGGGGUUGGAAAGUUUCGGCGGUUGGGGAUGGAAUCGCGGCUUAUCAGCUUGAUGGGGGGGUAGUGGCUGCCCAAGGCUUUGACGGGUAGCCGGCCUGGGAGGUUGGCCGGCCACAUUGGGACUGCGAUACGCCCCAGACUCCUACGGGAGGCAGAAGUGGGGAAUAUUGCACAAUGGGCGGAAGCCUGAUGCAGCAGCGCCGCGUGCGGGAUGCCGGCCUUCGGGUUGUAAACCGCUUUCGCCUGUGACGAAGCGUGAGUGACGGUAAUGGGUAAAGAAGCACCGGCUAACUACGUG
rnacentral:rRNA from 1 species